rnacentral:rRNA from 1 species
GGGUUGUGAGGUUAAGCGACUAAGCGUACACGGUGGAUGCCCUGGCAGUCAGAGGCGAUGAAGGACGUGCUAAUCUGCGAUAAGCGUCGGUAAGGUGAUAUGAACCGUUAUAACCGGCGAUUUCCGAAUGGGGAAACCCAGUGUGAUUCGUCACACUAUCAUUAACUGAAUCCAUAGGUUAAUGAGGCGAACCGGGGGAACUGAAACAUCUAAGUACCCCGAGGAAAAGAAAUCAACCGAGAUUCCCCCAGUAGCGGCGAGCGAACGGGGAGCAGCCCAGAGCCUGAAUCAGUGUGUGUGUUAGUGGAAGCGUCUGGAAAGGCGCGCGAUACAGGGUGACAGCCCCGUACACAAAAAUGCACAUGCUGUGAGCUCGAUGAGUAGGGCGGGACACGUGGUAUCCUGUCUGAAUAUGGGGGGACCAUCCUCCAAGGCUAAAUACUCCUGACUGACCGAUAGUGAACCAGUACCGUGAGGGAAAGGCGAAAAGAACCCCGGCGAGGGGAGUGAAAAAGAACCUGAAACCGUGUACGUACAAGCAGUGGGAGCACAGAGCAAUCUGUGUGACUGCGUACCUUUUGUAUAAUGGGUCAGCGACUUAUAUUCUGUAGCAAGGUUAACCGAAUAGGGGAGCCGAAGGGAAACCGAGUCUUAACUGGGCGUUAAGUUGCAGGGUAUAGACCCGAAACCCGGUGAUCUAGCCAUGGGCAGGUUGAAGGUUGGGUAACACUAACUGGAGGACCGAACCGACUAAUGUUGAAAAAUUAGCGGAUGACUUGUGGCUGGGGGUGAAAGGCCAAUCAAACCGGGAGAUAGCUGGUUCUCCCCGAAAGCUAUUUAGGUAGCGCCUCGUGAAUUCAUCUCCGGGGGUAGAGCACUGUUUCGGCAAGGGGGUCAUCCCGACUUACCAACCCGAUGCAAACUGCGAAUACCGGAGAAUGUUAUCACGGGAGACACACGGCGGGUGCUAACGUCCGUCGUGAAGAGGGAAACAACCCAGACCGCCAGCUAAGGUCCCAAAGUCAUGGUUAAGUGGGAAACGAUGUGGGAAGGCCCAGACAGCCAGGAUGUUGGCUUAGAAGCAGCCAUCAUUUAAAGAAAGCGUAAUAGCUCACUGGUCGAGUCGGCCUGCGCGGAAGAUGUAACGGGGCUAAACCAUGCACCGAAGCUGCGGCAGCGACACUAUGUGUUGUUGGGUAGGGGAGCGUUCUGUAAGCCUGUGAAGGUGUACUGUGAGGUAUGCUGGAGGUAUCAGAAGUGCGAAUGCUGACAUAAGUAACGAUAAAGCGGGUGAAAAGCCCGCUCGCCGGAAGACCAAGGGUUCCUGUCCAACGUUAAUCGGGGCAGGGUGAGUCGACCCCUAAGGCGAGGCCGAAAGGCGUAGUCGAUGGGAAACAGGUUAAUAUUCCUGUACUUGGUGUUACUGCGAAGGGGGGACGGAGAAGGCUAUGUUGGCCGGGCGACGGUUGUCCCGGUUUAAGCGUGUAGGCUGGUUUUCCAGGCAAAUCCGGAAAAUCAAGGCUGAGGCGUGAUGACGAGGCACUACGGUGCUGAAGCAACAAAUGCCCUGCUUCCAGGAAAAGCCUCUAAGCAUCAGGUAACAUCAAAUCGUACCCCAAACCGACACAGGUGGUCAGGUAGAGAAUACCAAGGCGCUUGAGAGAACUCGGGUGAAGGAACUAGGCAAAAUGGUGCCGUAACUUCGGGAGAAGGCACGCUGAUAUGUAGGUGAAGUCCCUCGCGGAUGGAGCUGAAAUCAGUCGAAGAUACCAGCUGGCUGCAACUGUUUAUUAAAAACACAGCACUGUGCAAACACGAAAGUGGACGUAUACGGUGUGACGCCUGCCCGGUGCCGGAAGGUUAAUUGAUGGGGUUAGCGCAAGCGAAGCUCUUGAUCGAAGCCCCGGUAAACGGCGGCCGUAACUAUAACGGUCCUAAGGUAGCGAAAUUCCUUGUCGGGUAAGUUCCGACCUGCACGAAUGGCGUAAUGAUGGCCAGGCUGUCUCCACCCGAGACUCAGUGAAAUUGAACUCGCUGUGAAGAUGCAGUGUACCCGCGGCAAGACGGAAAGACCCCGUGAACCUUUACUAUAGCUUGACACUGAACAUUGAGCCUUGAUGUGUAGGAUAGGUGGGAGGCUUUGAAGUGUGGACGCCAGUCUGCAUGGAGCCGACCUUGAAAUACCACCCUUUAAUGUUUGAUGUUCUAACGUUGACCCGUGAUCCGGGUUGCGGACAGUGUCUGGUGGGUAGUUUGACUGGGGCGGUCUCCUCCUAAAGAGUAACGGAGGAGCACGAAGGUUGGCUAAUCCUGGUCGGACAUCAGGAGGUUAGUGCAAUGGCAUAAGCCAGCUUGACUGCGAGCGUGACGGCGCGAGCAGGUGCGAAAGCAGGUCAUAGUGAUCCGGUGGUUCUGAAUGGAAGGGCCAUCGCUCAACGGAUAAAAGGUACUCCGGGGAUAACAGGCUGAUACCGCCCAAGAGUUCAUAUCGACGGCGGUGUUUGGCACCUCGAUGUCGGCUCAUCACAUCCUGGGGCUGAAGUAGGUCCCAAGGGUAUGGCUGUUCGCCAUUUAAAGUGGUACGCGAGCUGGGUUUAGAACGUCGUGAGACAGUUCGGUCCCUAUCUGCCGUGGGCGCUGGAGAACUGAGGGGGGCUGCUCCUAGUACGAGAGGACCGGAGUGGACGCAUCACUGGUGUUCGGGUUGUCAUGCCAAUGGCACUGCCCGGUAGCUAAAUGCGGAAGAGAUAAGUGCUGAAAGCAUCUAAGCACGAAACUUGCCCCGAGAUGAGUUCUCCCUGACUCCUUGAGAGUCCUGAAGGAACGUUGAAGACGACGACGUUGAUAGGCCGGAUGUGUAAGCGCAGCGAUGCGUUGAGCUAACCGGUACUAAUGAACCGUGAGGCUUAACCUUACAACGCCGAAGGUGUUU